GACUGGGAUAACCCUGGGAAACUGGGGCUAAUACCGGAUAGGCAAUUAUUCCUGCAAUGGUUUUUUGUUUAAAUGUUUUUUCGCCUAAGGAUGGGUCUGCGGCCGAUUAGGUAGUUGGUUAGGUAAUGGCUUACCAAGCCGUUGAUCGGUACGGGUUGUGAGAGCAAGAGCCCGGAGAUGGAACCUGAGACAAGGUUCCAGGCCCUACGGGGUGCAGCAGGCGCGAAACCUCCGCAAUGUGAGAAAUCGCGACGGGGGGAUCCCAAGUGCCAUUCUUAACGGGAUGGCUUUUCAUUAGUGUAAAGAGCUUUUGGAAUAAGAGCUGGGCAAGACCGGUGCCAGCCGCCGCGGUAACACCGGCAGCUCUAGUGGUAACAAUUUUUAUUGGGCCUAAAGCGUCCGUAGCCGGUUUAAUAAGUCUCUGGUGAAAUCCUGUAGCUUAACUGUGGGAAUUGCUGGAGAUACUAUUAGACUUGAGACCGGGAGAGGUUAGAGGUACUCCCAGGGUAGAGGUGAAAUUCUGUAAUCCUGGGAGGACCGCCUGUUGCGAAGGCGUCUAACUGGAACGGUUCUGACGGUGAGGGACGAAAGUUAGGGGCGCGAACCGGAUUAGAUACCCGGGUAGUCCUAACUGUAAACGAUGCGGACUUGGUGUUGGGGUGGCUUUGAGCUGCUCCAGUGCCGAAGGGAAGCUGUUAAGUCCGCCGCCUGGGAAGUACGGUCGCAAGACUGAAACUUAA
rnacentral:rRNA from 1 species